rnacentral:rRNA from 1 species
UACGUAGGUGACAAGCGUUGUCCGGAUUUACUGGGCGUAAAGAGCGCGCAGGCGGUCGAUCAAGUCGAGUGUGAAAGCCCCCGGCUCAACUGGGGAGGGUCAUUGAUACUGAUCGACUCGAAGGCAGGAGAGGGUAGUGGAAUUCCCGGUGUAGUAGUGAAAUGCGUAGAUAUCGGGAGGAACACCAGUGGCGAAGGCGACUACCUGGCCUGUUCUUGACGCUGAGGCGCGAAAGCUAGGGGAGCAAACGGG